GUGCCAGCCGCCGCGGUACUACCGGCAGCUCAAGUGAUGUCCCAUAUUAUUGGGCCUAAAGCGUCCGUAGCUGGCCGACCAAGUCUCCCGGGAAAUCCACACGCCCAACGGGUGGGCGUCCGGUAGAAACUGGCCGGCUUGGAACCGGAAGGCUCAGAGAGUACGUCCGGGGUAGGAGUGAAAUCCCGUAAUCCCGCACGGACCACCGAUGGCGAAAGCACUUCGAGAAAGCGGAUCCGACAGUGAGGGACGAAAGCCAGGGUCUCCAACCGGAUUAGUUACCCGAGUAGUCC
rnacentral:rRNA from 1 species